CUGGCUCAGCCCUGCUCUGCGCCUGCCCUGCCUGAGGAGGGAUCAGUGGAGGAGUGAGGAGGGUCCAGGGACCUCCACCAGGGAGUGGAUUAAGCAAAAUAAUGCCCAGGUUUGGGCUGGACUUACCUGGCUUGGCAGCUGGAGGUGACUCUGGUGCAGGGCUCGAGGUGACAGCUCCCAGCUGGAUGUGGCUGAGGACGUUAAUGGUGUGUUAGCCCGGAUGAUUAAUACAAGCGCCUGCAAACAACCCUCCAACGUUUCCACCCUCCGCUGCAAGAUGAAUCGCUGGAAAGCGCCGUUAAUCGCUAACAUACCUUGGGCCCAAAGCCCCUUCCUGCCCCGCCGUGCUGGGAUCCCGCUGCCGUGCCCAGCCUGUCCCCUCUGCAGCCGCUGCAGCCAGGGCAGGGGUCAGCCCCAGCUGUGGCCCGGCUCUGGGACAUCGUCCUGGGGAUCUGUCACCCAUGGGUGCAGAGGCGAGCAGGAUGUGCUGUCCACUUCAGGGCCCCUCCCUGGGCUUGGGUUUGGGACUGUGGUGAAGUACAAGACCCCAACCCCAGCGUGUCCCCCCAGCCCUUUCGUGGCCAGGCUGGGACAGGGAAACACAGGGCAGGUCCUCCCUUCCCUGCUGUAAAUACAUUCAUGUGCA